rnacentral:rRNA from 1 species
GACGAACCGUGCGAACGUUGUUCGGAAUCACUGGGCUUAAAGGGCGCGUAGGCGGCUGUACAAGUCGGGGGUGAAAUCUUUCGGCUCAACCGGAAAAGUGCCUUCGAUACUGUGCAGCUCGAGGGAGGUAGGGGCAGACGGAACUUCCGGUGGAGCGGUGAAAUGCGUUGAUAUCGGAAGGAACGCCGGUGGCGAAAGCGGUCUGCUGGCCCUCUUCUGACGCUGAGGCGCGAAAGCCAGGGGAGCAAAGCGGG